AUUGAACGCUGGCGGCAUGCCUUACACAUGCAAGUCGAACGGUAACAGGUCUUCGGAUGCUGACGAGUGGCGAACGGGUGAGUAAUACAUCGGAACGUGCCUAGUAGUGGGGGAUAACUACUCGAAAGAGUGGCUAAUACCGCAUGAGAUCUACGGAUGAAAGCAGGGGAUCGCAAGACCUUGUGCUACUAGAGCGGCCGAUGGCAGAUUAGGUAGUUGGUGGGAUAAAAGCUUACCAAGCCGACGAUCUGUAGCUGGUCUGCUAGGACGAUCAGCCACACUGGGACUGAGACACGGCCCAAACUCCUCCGGGAGGCAGCAGUGGGGAAUUUUGGACAAUGGGCGCAAGCCUGAUCCAGCAAUGCCGCGUGCAGGAUGAAGGCCUUCGGGUUGUAAACUGCUUUUGUACGGAACGAAAAGCCCCGGGUUAAUACCCUGGGGUCAUGACGGUACCGUAAGAAUAAGCACCGGCUAACUACGUGCCAGCCGCCGCCGUAA
rnacentral:rRNA from 1 species